UGUUACCAUCCUCCAGGAAAAUAAGAGCUCUUGGAUCAAUUCUGCCUGCUUUUAGAGGAACCUGAAAUUCUAACUUUCAAGAAGGAAUAAAUCUUAGUCCUAAUAAGAAGCAUUUAAGUACAGGCAGAAAGAAGCUCAGACUUACCACUCCUGAACUGCAGCUACAGAAUGCCUUGAGGAUUAUUUGAGUCUCCAACCAGUCACCUUGGUCAGAGACAAGAAAUGCAACUGGUGUGUUGAACAAAAAACACUUGCCAUGGACAAAUGUAAGCAGAGGAAAACACAGCAAUACUGACCAAGGAGGAGUACAAAGAUGUCAUCAGUCAGUCAGAGGGACUGGAAAGCAUCUGUAUAUGUAGUGUGUGGUAGAUUAUAGAAAGAAAGAAAAUUCAGUCUCAUAACUCA
rnacentral:lncRNA from 1 species